CGAUACAGGGUGACAGCCCCGUACACAAAAAUGCACAUAUUGUGAGCUUGAUGAGUAGGGCGGGACACGUGGUAUCCUGUCUGAAUAUGGGGGGACCAUCCUCCAAGGCUAAAUACUCCUGACUGACCGAUAGUGAACCAGUACCGUGAGGGAAAGGCGAAAAGAACCCCGGCGAGGGGAGUGAAAAAGAACCUGAAACCGUGUACGUACAAGCAGUGGGAGCACGCUUAGGCGUGUGACUGCGUACCUUUUGUAUAAUGGGUCAGCGACUUAUAUUCUGUAGCAAGGUUAACCGAAUAGGGGAGCCGAAGGGAAACCGAGUCUUAACUGGGCGUUAAGUUGCAGGGUAUAGACCCGAAACCCGGUGAUCUAGCCAUGGGCAGGUUGAAGGUUGGGUAACACUAACUGGAGGACCGAACCGACUAAUGUUGAAAAAUUAGCGGAUGACUUGUGGCUGGGGGUGAAAGGCCAAUCAAACCGGGAGAUAGCUGGUUCUCCCCGAAAGCUAUUUAGGUAGCGCCUCGUGAAUUCAUCUCCGGGGGUAGAGCACUGUUUCGGCAAGGGGGUCAUCCCGACUUACCAACCCGAUGCAAACUGCGAAUACCGGAGAAUGUUAUCACGGGAGACACACGGCGGGUGCUAACGUCCGUCGUGAAGAGGGAAACAACCCAGACCGCCAGCUAAGGUCCCAAAGUCAUGGUUAAGUGGGAAACGAUGUGGGAAGGCCCAGACAGCCAGGAUGUUGGCUUAGAAGCAGCCAUCAUUUAAAGAAAGCGUAAUAGCUCACUGGUCGAGUCGGCCUGCGCGGAAGAUGUAACGGGGCUAAACCAU
rnacentral:rRNA from 1 species